CCUACGGGAGGCAGCAGUGAGGAAUAUUGGUCAAUGGGCGCGAGCCUGAACCAGCCAAGUAGCGUGAAGGAUGACUGCCCUACGGGUUGUAAACUUCUUUUAUAAAGGAAUAAAGUGAGGCACGUGUGCCUUUUUGUAUGUACUUUAUGAAUAAGGAUCGGCUAACUCCGUGCCAGCAGCCGCGGUAAUACGGAGGAUCCGAGCGUUAUCCGGAUUUAUUGGGUUUAAAGGGAGCGUAGAUGGGUUGUUAAGUCAGUUGUGAAAGUUUGCGGCUCAACCGUAAAAUUGCAAUUGAUACUGGCAGCCUUGAGUACAGUUGAGGUAGGCGGAAUUCGUGGUGUAGCGGUGAAAUGCUUAGAUAUCACGAAGAACUCCGAUUGCGAAGGCAGCUUACUAAACUAUAACUGACACUGAAGCACGAAAGCGUGGGGAUCAAACAGGAUUAGAUACCCCUGUAGUC
rnacentral:rRNA from 1 species